GGUAAGGUGGGGGCAGCGGGCGCUGUACGAGGAAGGGGUGCAGUGUUGGACGGAAUUAGUGGGCGGAAAGCGGACGUAGGCGGGUAUGUGAGGCAUGGGGGAAAUCGCCGUGGUCAACGUGGGAACGGCAUUUGAGACUGGGAGGGUAGAGGAGGGAAGAGGUAAGUGGAAUUGCGGGUGUAGCGGUGAAAUGCGUAGAUAGUUGCAGGAAGACCGGUGGCGAAGGCGGCUUACUGGUCCAUUACUGACGCUGAGGUGCGAAAGCGUGGGGAGCAAACAGGAUUAGAUACCCGUGUAAUC
rnacentral:rRNA from 1 species